rnacentral:tRNA from 1 species
UGGGGGAUCGUAUAGUGGUAGUACAGUGGACUCUGGAUCCAUAUGCCGAGGUUCGAAUCCUCGUCCCCCAG